ACACACACACACACACCCCGGGUCCACAGACUGAACCUAUGCAGAGUGUAUUCCCAGGCUCGGCGCUUGAGUUCCCUUCCUUUCCACACAGACAGACGGAUGAUGGUGAUCCGGGCCUUCCUAUCUGCCUGUACUAAACAUUAUCUAUAUUUAUAUUUGGAUAACAGUGUUUCAACAUCGUUGGCCUUCUCCCUCCUGCUUACUCGAUGCCUCAAAAGCCCGUGGAAGGACGGAGUUCGCGGCAGGCGGAGGGUUAAGAGCCGAGCCAGCAGCUGCUUAAGGGGAGGGUCUGAAAACAGGAGAUCUGAAGUUCCGGUUCCACAUCCUUCUUAGAGGACACAAAGCCUUUUGUUUCUCAUCUCUAUUGCCCUCAAGAUUUGAUCAAGAGCCAACAGAGAGUAGGCUGAAGCUGAGGAGAGAGGAAUGCCUAAGAGCGGUGCUGUUGCUGCCCCAGCCCCCAACAUACAACGCAUGUGCGCCAUCCUCUGCCGCCUGGACCCGCGAGGGUAAGGGAGCGCUGGUCCCUGUGGUAUUUUCCAACCUCAGACCCUUCCAUCUCCUGCAGAGAGCUACCCUUCAAAUGGUAAAGAUGAGUUUUGCCAGUCUUCAUCUGAUGAUAUGACCGCACCAGGAUUUCAUCUCUGUGUAAGCCAAGUUUUAGCAUCCCACGCCCACUUGAACAUCACAGUUUCCCUGCUUCGUUAAGAAGGAUCUUGUGGUGAGCGACAAGAUGCCUGUGUGGGCAGGCUUUUCUGCGUUGUGUAAGAAAACAGUCACGGAAGCCAUGGUCGUCUCCUUCCUGACUUCCACAUUCUGUAGAAGACACCUGUUAGCCACGAGUGCCUGAGUGUGUGGAUGCUGCCCUGGCCCCAUUCUCAACGGGUAUCAUGGAUUGAGUGGUCACUCUUGAGAGCACUGGCUCCCACGGCCGGCUGCAGGGAACAACGCUGCGUGAGCUCGUUUGCCUACUUCCAGCAAUUUGGCUCCCAGGAAGGAGAUGAAGUAGCUAUUUGAGGCCCGCGCUUCCCCUCCAUCUUCGUAAGACAAUUUUGGGUGUUUUCUCCGGCGUGGCUAUGGGAUCUGAUUCUGGCUGCGACCUGGGUGACAUAUUCCUAGGAAGAGCCACAAGAAGCCAGUGAUGGUGUUGGGGGUGGGGUGGGACAGACAAGGCCUCUGGGGGUAAUGGCCUCUGUUAGAGCCCAGGCUGUGGGCCAGCUUAGAUGGCAUUGCUGCUCUGUGCAUAGGCGACACUGGCCCCUGCCUUAGUUUAGUGCCUCUGUGAUUGGUCUGAGCGUAUGGGUGUGGCCCUCACACUGCCCUACCUGGAUGAACACUAACCCAGACCUAACUGCUGGCCCCACAGAUCCUGGAGCACUGUUGUAGCCGCAUCCUCUCUCCCAUGGACCUGAGCCGUGUUUGCUGACUUUCUCUCAGGCACAGGCCCAUCCAGAGCCAGGAAGUCUCAUUAAGAACAGCGCACUCCAGUUCCUACAGAAAGCAUGGCCGCCCCAGGCCUUAAGCCAGCCAUCUUUCUCCCAGGAACGCAUCUGCAGCCCCGAGGGCCUCUCUGAAGAACCCUUGACCUGGGCUCCAACUUGCAGAAGGAAUUUCUUUCUGCAGGAAAGGAGUAGGGGAGCUGGGAUAUAAAGGAGACCCUCUGUGUCGGCCUGGCUGCCACAGUGAGGCUGUUCCCGGUGCGCAGUGCCCAUUCCUCUCUCAAGCUUCACCAGUCAUUCAAACUGUCUGCAGAAGAUGAGCGUGGCAGUGUCUAUCAUCCCAGCACUUGGAAGACUGAGGCAGGAGGAUCACAAUUGUAGGCCAAGCCAAGGAUGGGCUGUACAAUAGGUGGAGCAGCCCCACACAUACCGGAGUGCAGGCCAGAAUUCAUUCUUAGCCCCCUUCCCUUUCCUUGUGAGUCAAAGCCCGCUCCACCUCUCAUGUGCACUCCUCAGGUGCUGCAAGCUUAGCCGCUCCAACCUAGGGGUUACUCCUCACCUCUUCAUCCAAGAAUCAUCUACUCAAGUCGCACCUUGUUGGGCCCUACUGCCAAGCCCUAAAGGUAGAGGUGUGAGCAGGCUCAAGGGGACUCCCAGAGAGAAGCCGAGAUCAGGAAGGGCUUUUCAGUCAGAAGGGCUGGCGUGGCUGGCGUGGCUGACUGGCAGAGGUCAGGAAAGGCUUUUGGGAAGAGGUGACCAGAGAGGUUGGGUUCUGAGAAGAAAUCGAUAAAGUGCCCCCAGCAGGCCAAGGCUGCUGAGUCACAUCCAGGCCACAGGUGCUGUGAGGCUCAGCAGAACUGAAGCUGCGGCAGUGAUAGAGGUUAGACACUUGGACAGGGAGAGGUCAUCUGAGGUGAUGGGACUUUGUCCUGUAGGAGGUAGGGAGACGGUAAGGACUUGUGUUUGGGUUGAAGGCAACCCUAGUCAGAACGGCUUCUCUUGGAGGCUGUGAAGGGCUUGGCUGUGAGAGUACAGAGACACUCAGGUAUGGUGGCACACAUUUUUAAUCCAAGCACUUGGGAGGCAGCAGGAGUUAUCUUUAUUUUAGGUCAGCCUGCUCUACUUGAAGUUUUCUAGGCUAGCCCAGGCUACACAGUGAACCCUGUCUCAAGAGAAAAGUAGGGAAGUGGAAUCUUGACAGCCUAGAAGUCAGUGGAAGUCUGUGGAAGAAGGGUACUCAAAGGCCCAUCACCCGGGGUGAUGACACAUGCCUGCAACCCCAGCACUUUGCCGGAUCAUUGAGGCCAACCUGGGCUACAUAGUAAGUUCCAGGCUAGCCUGGGCUAGGUAAGACCCUGUCUCAAAAACAAACAAACAAACAAACAAACAAACACACAAACAAACAAGGUGGAAGGCUAGUGAGAUGGCUCAGCAGACAGAUGGCCUGAGUUUGCUCCUUAGGGCCCAGCUCCUGUCAGUGCCCUCUUUUACCUACCUCAAGUGCGCGCGCGCGUGCGCGAGUACACACACACACACACGCGCACACAUACAUAUGCAGAGUAAACAAAGGUUUAAAAAAAAAAAUGAGCAGGCCUAGGAAGAUGUUCAUCUGCCUGGGGAGUGGAGUGUGAGGUAGGCUGGCAAUGGAAGCAUUCAUAUUCACACAGAGUGAGUUUCUACUUCAAUCCUUUUCCUACCCUUUCAACCUCGUAGCGUGAGACAGGAGAUAAAAAGAAGAGAGGGGAAAGGAAAGAGAUUCCUGAAUAAAGUCGGGUCAGAAAGAGGGUGACAUUAUCCUUAGACUACUUUCUGCUGAUUAGGGGAAUCAAGUUCCACAGGACGAGUUUGAUUUUCACUGUCAGGAUAUCUAAUUUCUUCGUGUUGUCUCUUCUUUACGCAUGACUCCUUAACAAACCGCAACCAAGAGCAACCAACCAACAAUCAACAACUUUAACAUAGGUGUGGCUUUUUUUCUGGGAACAUCAGGUCACACCAUGUAACCCAAGCCGGCUUCAAACCUGUGAUCUUCCUGCCUCUGCCUCCCAAAUGUCAGUAUUACAGGUGUACCCCACAACGUACCAUUCCACUUAGACUUUUUUUUAAAAUCCAUUUCUACUUUUAAUUAAUAUUUUCACUUUUACAUUUUCUUUUUUUUCAAGUUCAAACUAUUUCUUUUUAAAAUAUUUUUAUUAGGUAUUUUCCUCAUUUACAUUUCCAAUGCUAUCCCAAAAGUCCCCCAUACCCUCCCCCCGACUCCCCUACCUACCCACUCCCACUUUUUGGCCCUGGCAUUCCCCUGUACUGGGGCAUAUAAAGUUUGCAAGUCCAAUGGGCCUUUCUUUCCAGUGAUGGCCGACUAGGCCAUCUUUUGAUACAUAUGCAGCUAGAGUCAAGAGCUCCGGGGUCUCCUUGUACUAAGGUCAAAUCUAAGUGGAUUAAGGAACUCCACAUAAAAUCAGAGACACUGAAACUUAUAGAGGAGAAAGUGGGGAAAAGCCUUGAAGAUAUGGGUACAGAGGAAAUGUUCCUGAAUAGAACAGCAAUGGCUUGUGCUGUAAGAUCGAGAAUCGAUAAAUGGGACCUCAUAAAGUUGCAAAGCUUCUGCAAGGCAAAAGACACCGUCAAUAAGACAAAAAGACCACCAACAGAUUGGGAAAGGAUCUUUACCUAUCCUAAAUCAGAUAGGGGACUAAUAUCCAAUAUAUAUAAAGAACUCAAGAAGGUGGACUCCAGAAAAUCAAAUAACCCCAUUAAAAAAUGGGGCUCAGGGCUGGUGAGAUGGCUCAGUGGGUAAGAGCACCCGACUGCUCUUCCGAAGGUCCGAAGUUCAAAUCCCAGCAACCACAUGGUGGCUCACAACCACCCGUAAUGAGAUCUGAUGCCCUCUGAAGACAGCUACAGUGUACUUACAUAUAAUAAAUAAAUAAAUAAAUAAAUCUUUAAAAAAAAAUGGGGCUCAGAGCUGAACAAAGAAUUCUCACCUGAGGAAUACCGAAUGGCAGAGAAGCACCUGAAAAAAUGUUCAACAUCCUUAAUCAUCAGGGAAAUGCAAAUCAAAACAACCCUGAGAUUCCACCUCACACCAGUCAGAAUGGCUAAGAUCAAAAAUUCAGGUGACAGCAGAUGUUGGCGAGGAUGUGGAGAAAGAGGAACACUCCUCCAUUGUUGGUGGGAUUGCAAGCUUGUACAACCACUCUGGAAAUCAGUCUGGCGGUUCCUCAGAAAAUUGGAUAUAGUACUACUGGAGGAUCCGGAAAUACCUCUCCUGGGCAUAUAUCCAGAAGAUGUUCCAACCGGUAAGAAGGACACAUGCUCCACUAUGUUCAUAGCAGCUUUAUUUAUAAUAGCCAGAAGCUGGAAAGAACCCAGAUGCCCCUCAACAGAGGAAUGGAUACAGAAAAUGUGGUACAUUUACACAAUGAAGUACUACUUAGCUAUUAAAAAUAAUGAAUUUAUGAAAUUCCUAGGCAAAUGGAUGGACCUGGAGGGCAUCAUCCUGAGUGAGGUAACCCAAUCACAAAGGAACUCACACAAUAUGUACUCACUGAUAAGUGGAUAUUAGCCCAGAAACUUAGGAUACCCAAGAUAUAAGAUACAAUUUGCUAAACGCAUGAAACUCAAGAACAAAGACUAACGUGUGGACACUUAGACUUUUAAAAUCACACCAAUCUGACCUGUGAACAGCUUAUUCUCAGUACUUGGAAGUGUGUGAUAGCGCCCCCUGGUGGAAAAUUUAUGAAUUAGUAUUUUUUCAUUAGCCUGGUCAUCUGUUCUCUUUUUUUCUUUUCUUUUCCUUCUCCAUUUUCACAUUAGUUUAUUCAGAUCUUUGUUGUUAUUUAUAGAAUUUAAAAGAAACCCUUUAAAAUAAAAUAUAGAUAUUUUAAAUUGG